CCCUUCUUUCGUCGUCCUACCGCCGCAGACCAGCCACCACCACCUUCGCCUUCACCGGAGAUUUCUGGCGCCACCAAACCUAGCCCCAUCUCCCCUCCUAUUCGUGCUCUGCUCCGCCGUGCACCGCCUCCUUUCUCUUCGACUCCCCUGUUCUCCCUCCCCUGUUCGCACACCCCUCCUUUUCUUCCUCUUAUCCGCGAGCCACAGCCACGCGGUCAGAACCGCCCAGCCACGCUGGAGUUUCCCCGUCGCCGACAACCGAGCCCAGCCACCCCAACUCCCUUCCUCCUCCGUGCCUUCCCUGUUUCACGCCCCUCCCCUGUUUCUAUUUCCCUUCCCAGAAAACCGAGAAUCAUGUUUCUAAGUGAAACAUUGAUUCUUAUUCACCUCAAAGUCUCAAACUCGUAUUUGAGUUGGGCUAUUUUACUUUGGGCCUUUGAAAUUGGACUCGGAGCUCAGGACGAACGAACCAGCGAAAAUCCUUAGCCAAAAUCGUGGAAGUGAGGUACUGCUGGGAACGAUGGAAACGAGUAGUGGCGAGGAUUUCACUUUAAUAAUAUUCACCUAGUUACGCUUAACGUUUUGAUAGUUUAAUUAAAGACUCGUAGUAAGUUAUGUACUUUUACCUUG